UUCGGAUUGUAGUCUGCAACCCGACUACAUGAAGCCGGAAUCGCUAGUAAUCGCGGAUCAGAAUGCCGCGGUGAAUACGUUCCCGGGUCUUGUACACACCGCCCGUCACACCAUGGGAGUUGGAAAUGCCCGAAGUCAGUGGCCCAACCGGAAGGGGGGAGCUGCCGAAGGCAGGUUCGAUGACUGGGGUGAAGUCGUAACAAGGUACC
rnacentral:rRNA from 1 species